rnacentral:rRNA from 1 species
UAGGGAAUCUUCGGCAAUGGGCGAAAGCCUGACCGAGCAACGCCGCGUGAAUGAUGAAGGCCUUCGGGUUGUAAAAUUCUGUUAUAAGGGAAGAAUGGCUCUAGUAGGAAAUGGCUAGAGUGUGACGGUACCUUAUGAGAAAGCCACGGCUAACUACGUGCCAGCAGCCGCGGUAAUACGUAGGGGGCUAGCGUUGUCCGGAAUCACUGGGCGUAAAGGGUUCGCAGGCGGAAAUGCAAGUCAGGUGUAAAAGGCAGUAGCUUAACUACUGUAAGCAUUUGAAACUGCAUAUCUUGAGAAGAGUAGAGGUAAGUGGAAUUUUUAGUGUAGCGGUGAAAUGCGUAGAUAUUAAAAAGAAUACCGGUGGCGAAGGCGACUUACUGGGCUCAUUCUGACGCUGAGGAACGAAAGCGUGGGUAGCAAACAGG